UGGGGAAUAUUGCACAAUGGGCGCAAGCCUGAUGCAGCCAUGCCGCGUGUGUGAAGAAGGCCUUCGGGUUGUAAAGCACUUUCAGCGAGGAGGAAGGUGGUGAACUUAAUACGUUCAUCAAUUGACGUUACUCGCAGAAGAAGCACCGGCUAACUCCGUGCCAGCAGCCGCGGUAAUACGGAGGGUGCAAGCGUAAUCGGAAUUACUGGGCGUAAAGCGCACGCAGGCGGUUUGUUAAGUCAGAUGUGAAAUCCCCGGGCUCAACCUGGGAACUGCAUUUGAAACUGGCAAGCUAGAGUCUCGUAGAGGGGGGUAGAAUUCCAGGUGUAGCGGUGAAAUGCGUAGAGAUCUGGAGGAAUACCGGUGGCGAAGGCGGCCCCCUGGACGAAGACUGACGCUCAGGUGCGAAAGCGUGGGGAGCAAACAGGAUUAGAUACCCUGGUAGUCCACGCUGUAAACGAUGUCGAUUUUGGAGGUUGUGCCCUUGAGGCGUGGCUUCCGGAGCUAACGCGUUAAAUCGACCGCCUGGGGAGUACGGCCGCAAGGUUAAAACUUAAAUGAAUUGACGGGGUC
rnacentral:rRNA from 1 species